UACGUAGGGGGCAAGCGUUGUCCGGAAUUAUUGGGCGUAAAGAGCGUGUAGGCGGUCCGGUAAGUCGGCUGUGAAAGCCCAGGGCUCAACCCUGGGAUGCCGGUCGAUACUGCCGUGCUUGAGGACUGGAGAGGAGACUGGAAUUUACGGUGUAGCGGUGAAAUGCGUAGAUAUCGUAAGGAAGACCAGUGGCGAAGGCGGGUCUCUGGACAGUUCCUGACGCUGAGGCACGAAGGCCAGGGGAGCAAACGGG
rnacentral:rRNA from 1 species